rnacentral:rRNA from 1 species
UACGUAGGGUGCGAGCGUUAAUCGGAAUUACUGGGCGUAAAGUGUGCGCAGGCGGCAGAGCAAGUCGAGUGUGAAAGCCCCGGGCUUAACUUGGGAAUUGCGCUUGAAACUACUUUGCUGGAGUGUGGCAGAGGAAGGUGGAAUUCCACGUGUAGCGGUGAAAUGCGUAGAGAUGUGGAGGAACACCAAUGGCGAAGGCGGCUCGCUGGACCGGUUCUGACGCCGAUGCGCGAAAGCGUGGGGAGCAAACGGG